GGAGAGUCCAACAACCACAACAGCUCUUCAAACCUCCACAACUGCAGGUCCAACAACUACCACAGCAGGUCCAACAACAACAGCAACUCCAUUAACUACCACAGCAGGUCAAUCAUCUACCACAGCAACUCCAAUAACUACAUCGUCUAGUCCAACAACUACCACAGACGGUCCUGCAAGAACAACAGCUGCUCAACCCACCACAACUGCAAGUCCAACAACUACCACAGCAGUUCCAACAACUACAACUUCAAGUCCAACAACUACCACAGCAGGUCCCACAACGACAACAGCUCUUCAAACCACCACAACUGCAGGUCCAACAACUACCACAGACGGUCCUACAACAACGACAGCAGCUCAACCCACCACAACUGCAGGUCCAACAACUACCACAGCAGUUCCAUCAACUACAACUUCAAGUCCAACAACAACCACAGCAGGUCUCACAACAACAACAGCAACUCCCACAUCUACAUCGUCUGGUCCAACAAGUACCACAGAGAUUCCAACAACCACAACAACUGCUCCCACAACCACAACAGCAGGUCCAACAACUACCACAGCAGUGCCAACAGCUACAACUUCAAGUCCAACAACUACCACAGCAGGUCCCACAACGACAACAGCUCUUCAAACCACCACAACUGCAGGUCCAACAAUUACCACAGCAGGUCCUACAACAACAACAGCAGCUCAACCAACCACAACUGCAGGUCCAACAACUACCACAGCAGUUCCAACAACUACAACUUUAAGUCAAACAACUACCAGAGCAGGUCCCACAACAACAACAGCAACUCCCACUACUACAUCGUCUGGUCCAACAAGUACCACAGAGAUUCCAACAACCACAACAACUGCUCCCACAACCACAACGGCAGGUCCAAAAACUACCAUAGCAGUUCCAACAACUACAACUUCAAGUCCAACAACUUCCACAGCAGAUCCCACAACGACAACAGCUCUUCAAACCACCACAACUGCAGGUCCAACAACUAAAACAGCAGUUCCAACAACUACAACUUCAAGUCCAACAACUACCACAGCAGUUCCCACAACAACAACAGCAACUCCCACAACUACAUCGGCUGGUCCAACAAGAACCACAGAGAUCCCAACAACUGCUCCCACAACCACAACUGCAGGUCCAACAACUACCACAGCAGUUCCAACAACUACAACUUCAAGUCCAACAACUACCACAGCAGCUCCCACAACGACAACGGCUCUUCAGACCACAACAACUGCAGGUCCAACAACUACCACAGACGGUCCUACAACAACAACAACAACAGCAGCAGCUCAACCCACCACAACUGCAGGUCCAACAACUACCACAGCAGUUCCAACAACUACAACUUCAAGUCCAACAACUACCACAGCAGGUCCCACAACAACAAAAGCAACUCCCACAACUACAUCGUCUGGUCCAACAAGUACCACAGAGAUUCCAACAACCACAACAACUGCUCCCACAACCACAACUGCAGGUCCAACAACUACCACAGCUGUUCAAAUAACUACAACUUCAAGUCCAACAACUACCACAGCUGGUCCCAGAACGACAACAGCUCCUGAAACAAACACAACUGAAGGUCCAACAACUACCACAGCAGGUCCCACAACAACAAAAGCAACCCCCAAAACUACAUCGUCUGGUCCAACAAGUACCACGGAGGGUCCAACGACCUCAACAGCUGCUCCAACAACUACAACAGCUGCUCAAUCCACCAAAACUGCAGGUCCAAUAACUACCACAGCAGUUCCAACAACUACAACUUCAAGUCCAACAUCUCCCACAGCAAGUCCCAGAACAACAACAGCAACUCCUACAACUACAUCGUCUGGUCCAACAAGUACCACGGAAAGUCCAACAACCGCAACAGCUGCUCCAACAACCACAACUGCAGGUCCAACAACUACCACAGCAGUUCCAACAACUACAACUUCAGGUCCAACAACUACUACAUCAGUUUCAACAACUAUUACAGCAGAUCCCGCAACAACAACUUUUGCUCCAGCCACCACAACUGUAGGUCCAACAACUACCAAAGCAGUUCUCUCAAUAAUAACAGCAGGUCAAACAACUACAACGGUAGGUCGUGCAACAACAACAGCUGCUCAAAACACCACAACUGCAGGUCCAACAACUGCGACAGAAACUUAUACAACAGCAGUUCCAACAACUACAACAUCAGGUCCCACAACUACAACAGCUGCUCAAACCACGACAACCGCAUUUCAAAAAACAACAUCAAGACGAACAACGUCCACUGCAAGUCCCACAACGACAACUGCUAAUCAAACCACAACAACAACAGCAGGUUCAAAAACCCCAACUGCUGUUCCUACAACCACAGCUACUCCAACCACCUCAAUUGGAAGACCUACAACUUCAACUGUAGGCCCAACAACAACAAUCGCAGGUACCACAAUUACCAUUGCGGGCCCCACAACAACAACAACAACAGUUGGUCUCACAACUACAACAGCAACUAAAGCAACUAAAGAAGUCACAGGCACUCCGACUAGUUCCCCGGAAUCCACAACAGUAUCAACUAACCCUCCAGAAGAAGAUGAAGGCUACCUUCUACUGCAGUUUCGAAUAAUGCGUAAAUGGAUCCCAGCUUACAUCAAUCGUCAGUCUAAAGAAUACAAAGCGAUCAGUUUUAAUAUAACAACAGAGUGCAAUAGAGGAUACCGCCAUUCCUAUCCGAACAUUUUCCUUAGAUCGCAUCUAAGACAUCUGUGGGAAGGCUCUGUGGGGACAGAUCUUGAUCUGAUCUUUGUGAAUCAAUCAGUUGUGCCAAACAUUACUAGUGUAGAAGAAUCUCUGAAAACUGCACUAGAUGCAUCGAUUAUAUUCCUGAAUAUAAUUCCAAGCAGUAUCAAAGCAGCCAUGCCAAAUAUGACCGAAGAUACCUCAUCCACAACUGCUGCUGCAACAUCAACAACAGCAACAACAACAAGACCACACAGACCCACCACUGUAGGGUCUUCAACAACAUCAAGAUUAACAACGCCAAAUAAUGCCGCAGCUACAGCCACAAGCACAUCUGCAACCAGCAACCGAGCAGCUAGCAAAAAUAUUGAUCUAUUCGCUAGACUGUUCUUCACCUCACUGCUUCACGCCCUGUUUAACAAUGUAUAAACAAUCAUGGUUUCAUAAUCUUUCAGGGUUUCAAGUUUUCAUAGAGGACUUGUCUAUUAAUGUAAAAAAAAAUAUAUAUGUAAUAUUUACUAAUUAGUAUUUUAUUAAUGAAUUACUUAUGAUUUGUAUGUGAAUAUUUACUAAUAUAUUAUCUGUUUAAAAUCAAACAAUGUAUGUCAAUCAUUUUAAAUAAAGGAAAAAAUCUGG
ensembl:lncRNA